ACGCAGCUCUCGGCACAACAAACACAACACAAAAUCAAUUUAUAAAGAAAGCAAGUAAAAAGAAUAUUCCAAAUUGCAAAAUGAAACCCGCGAAAAGAAAGAAAUCCUAUUAAAAUUCCAUUUCGAAUAACAUGCAGAUAAUAUAAUAAGAGCACACAUCCUCUCUCACACAUACACGUAAUUAGCCAUUUGUUGCAGUUUGCUCACAGGACUACCCGUGAUAACACUCUAGUCGCUUGUUAUGCUGAUGAUUCAAUGCUUUGCCCCUACGAAUAUUCAAAAACUCUACGUAAACUCAAAGACACAAGAGACACAAAUACAAGAAGCAGAGAAAUAUCAUAUAAUUCCAUUUUUAUUUUAGGAUGGAAUUCAUAUGUUUAUUAUUAUUGUAUUUCCAUGUGUACAACGAGAGCCGAUCAGAUUAUGUGGUUUCUGGUAAGCAAAAAGGUUUCCGGUAAGCCAACGGCAAAAACUCUUAACCAUAUUCCCGCCGAGUUAUAUCCACAGAUCGGCCUAGACAUAUACGAAUGGAGACUAAAAAACAGUCUUAAUUUUGUGGCGCGUACAUUUCAUUAAAUUUCAUACAUUUCAAAUAGUUCUACAAUAGCUCAGGCAACCUUCAACGAUUGGUAUGGCAAUCAUGACCAAUCAUGACCAGCUGGAAUAGACCAGAAAUUCACUCUGAUACUCGGAUGCACUCUAGAUAUACAUACAUAGUUCUACACAUCUUGACUUCCAUACACACUUAUAUCGAAUAUGCAUAUAUAUAUAUUUAUUUAGACAUAUAU
rnacentral:sRNA from 1 species